UACGUAGGGUGCGAGCGUUGUUCGGAAUUACUGGGCGUAAAGGGCUCGUAGGUGGCCAACUAAGUCGGACGUGAAAUCCCUCAGCUUAACUGGGGAACUGCGUCCGAUACUGGAUGGCUCGAGUUUGGGAGAGGGAUGCGGAAUUCCAGGUGUAGCGGUGAAAUGCGUAGAUAUCUGGAGGAACACCGGUGGCGAAGGCGGCAUCCUGGACCAACACUGACACUGAGGAGCGAAAGCCAGGGGAGCAAACGGG
rnacentral:rRNA from 1 species